rnacentral:rRNA from 1 species
UACGUAGGGGGCAAGCGUUGUCCGGAAUCAUUGGGCGUAAAGAGCGUGUAGGCGGCCCGAUAAGUCCGCUGUGAAAGUCCAGGGCUCAACCCUGGAAUGCCGGUGGAUACUGUCGGGCUCGAGUUCGGAAGAGGUGAGUGGAAUUCCUGGUGUAGCGGUGAAAUGCGUAGAUAUCUGGAGGAACACCGGUGGCGAAGGCGGCAUCCUGGACCGGUAUUGACGCUGAGGCGCGAAAGCUAGGGGAGCAAACGGG